GAGUGAUGAUUGGUUUGUUACGUGUGGUUGGCUGCGGCGUUUGCAACAACUUCCAUGCUUUCAGACCUNUUCAGUUGUGCGGCAAGGCUUGUAUCGCCUUGAGCGUAUUGUGGGUUUUCUGUGUUGGCUACCUAAUCAAUGGUAUCGGUUGGAUUGAUCAAUGUUUCAUUUCGUCUACCGUCGCAUUCGCGGCGUGAGAUGAACCUUGAUGCGGUCUCUUUGAUCCACCUCGUCGAAGCGCAUGCUUUGGCGUUGUGGCACAUUGAGCAUUGCUUGGUCUCUUGUAUACGGAACAUAUAGUGGGCAUGGAUCUAACGAUUCUCGUUUGCCCUCAUAUUAGCGUAACGCUUCUCUUACACGACUUGCACCACGUUUUAGCUCGUAC
rnacentral:misc_RNA from 1 species